UAGGCUUCGCAGUAGAUUAAG
rnacentral:piRNA from 1 species